CUGCACUCUAUUGAGUGUGAACGAUCUUACUCAAUAGUACCCAAACUGGUCAAGGUUCCUGUAAAGAGAAGACCAAACUUCAGGCAAGAAUAGAGUUUGGAGAUGGACUUGCUUACCCGUCUAAAGGAUGUGGAAUUGGAGAAUAAGUGAGCUAAUCUUGGAAGAAUUUUGCAGAAAAACAGGACAUUUCUCCAUGGAUCCAGAGGAAGUGGUAACUGAGGGUUUGAGCUCUAUAGGGAUCUGGCUUCUUCAUGGGUAUUCCUAGUGGAUGGCCUCAAGUCUACAAUAGAGACUGCUUGGUAAGUAUAAGCUAUAUGUGGGUGGUUAUAGUCAUACUGUAGGUAGCACUUCUUGCCUGUGAUGGUAUUUCAAAUGUCUCACUCUUUUAUAGCAUGUGUGAAAUGAAGCUCAGACAUUGUUUUCUGUAUUGAGAUCCACAGAGAAUCUCUUAAAUGUCAUAACUAUGAUACUAUUUUUUUUAAUUUUACUGUGUCGAUGUCUUUAUAAAAAAGAGGUUCAUGAUACCCUGACCAUCUAAAACACACUACUGAAUAUGGAACAAACUUACAUGAAUUCUUAUAGGAUAGUCAGGACUGGAAGGGAGUUUUUCUGUGUUAAAGAUAACAAAGUGACAUGAGUAGGAUCUUUGCCUGACCUGAGUCUCAACUUUCCACCAAGUGUGUGACCUGCAGCAGGUAGCACAUAUCUAGGCUUCUCUAAUUUGAUUCAUGUGAAAGACAAAGUUGGUGACUAUCCUUACCACUGGGACUGAGAGACAAGGGCUGAAUCCAUUCAUAUUUAACAUUGAAGUGACAACCUGUCCUAAUGUCCCAGACAAAGCAGUACAAAGCAAUGUCAGUACUCCUUUGAGGAGAAGCACACUACACUUCAAGUCUGUGCUCCCCAUUCCCUGGUAGUGUGCUCCUCGGUGAGUUGUUCCUAAGCUAGAGGCCCACUGUUUUGUAAGCCGAAGCUAAUUAUGCUACCUGCUACUCUCUCCCUACAAGAGAUGAGACACUCCACUAGAGAUGUUUCAUGUAGUAUAUUGUGAGCAAAUUCUCUCUUAUUUCUCAAGAUUUGUUCUUAGUAGGGGCUAAGUGCUUGGUUAAUGAUGAAGAUGUCUUUGCCUUUAGUUCUUUAGUUCCACUCACAAGUCUAAAAAUAUAACUUGGUUACUUUUCUCUCUUCAAUCUUAACUGGUAUGAAUUAAGAAUUUUUUAAAAAAUAUCUUUUAUGAAUUGACUAUGGGGUUUAGCAGUACCAAGGGGUUUGAGAGUAGGUGCUAGGUGGGUGAAUAUGGUCAAAACAUUUUAUUAUGUAUUUGUAAAAUAGUUAAAAGGUAAGUAAAAUACAUUCUAAAAAAGUAUCUUAGAUGUUCUUCUCACCAAGUUUUAGAAUAGAAAGAUAUUAUAAACUUUAAUUAUUUUUAUUUACUGGUUGUAAGCUAUAGGGUAUUUUGCCUGUUCAGCUCCCUUGAGAAACAUCUGGCUCUGUCUGGAGACUGUUAAAACUGAUAGAACAUACUGGUGUCUGACAAGCAGAAACCAGGAAUGCUGUUAAGUAAACCCUAUCACAAGAAGCAUCCAUCCCCCCAAGCCGACUGUGAUGGGGUUAAGAAACUAUUUUAGACUGGAGGAAGAUAGAGCCCAAGAGGCUCAGUGACUAUGGCUGGAGAAUCUUGUGGUCUCACAUGUUAUAAAGAUGAUGCUGUGGAGACCGAUAUCAUUUCAUGGCACCCAGUUCCAUAAAAUAUUAAUAAAUGCACAUCCUGCUACCAUUUGUAUGCUCAUUACAAACUCCUCUAUUGGAAUGUUAGUGUAUGUGAUUUCUGUUUUUCCCCCACACAUCACUUUUCAGCCCUUCCUUACCUGCACUCCAAA
rnacentral:lncRNA from 1 species